AUUAAUUUAAUAUUGUGCACCUAACUUAGGAUGGCGUUAUACAAUCGGUAAAAAAAUUGAGGUAUCAAACAAGUUUUCAUGAAAGCUCUGUAGAUGAUCCUGCAAACAAAGAGGUUGUCAUAGUCUAUGCCAAAUUUUGUUGCUUGCCCACGCCACAUGAAAGUCGUGUGCUGCUAUUCAAAUUACAUUCAACCAUAACAGCAAUUAUUUUUUUAUUUCGCUUUUAGGUCCUGCUGGUACCAGUGGUCGUUCUGAAGUCGGGCUCACUGAAGAACAUGCUGCAUCAAGCGAACAGCGAAAGGUGCCCGCAGGAACACCACGCACCCCAAAAGCAGCCGAUUCGGCUUCCCGACACUCCAGGAGGACGUGGAGUACGGUCACCCUCUCCCCGCAUCUACCCCAGGUUGGAGGCUCACUUCCAGAUGGGCACGACCACGAGUACGCGACGUGCUCUCCAUCACAGUUUACACAGUGGAGAGCGUUCUCACAAGUUUCAGUGGUUUGUUCUUUGGCACUGCAUUUAGCACAAGUUUGGCGGCCGCGGCAGCUCUGCGAGCUGUGGCCCAAGCGCUGGCAUUUGAAACAUCGGAGUGGAUUGGGCACGUAAGGCCUGACACGGAGUUUUAUGUAACCGGGCUCGAUUGAUUCGGGCAGGACACUUGAAUUGAAGAAUGCACGUGCAAGCCUCGCAUCACAGAAUUCCCGUGCAAGCCUCCAGCUUGAGCCAGUGCCGCAGGAGUGUGGAGACGUUGCGGCUAGCAUAGCUAUCGCGGCACUGCAAGAGCAUGAUUAUGCUUCUGCGACAGUGCCAGUCAUCACAGCAGGAUACUGUCUGCAUGCUCCCCAAGUGCACCGAACCCUUCCACCCCUACAACCACGCGGCCGGAUUACUGCAGUGCAAAGGAUGCACAGCAGCGCCGCCACUCUGGCAGCAGACCAGCGUCGCCUGCUAAAGGUGCAGGAGCAACACCUGCAGGUACAGACAGGCUUCAUGCAGCGAAUCGACCAGAGCAUGGCAACGAUCGCAGCACAACAGGUGGAGCAGACCCAAUCACUUCGGCAAUAAGUCACCACCCUGCAGCAAAUGCUUGCAACUUUGCAAAGACAAAACUAACUAUCAGGGUGGCUACUUGGAUAUGCUGAACUGCUGGCCUGCUCAGAAAAUUUGCAGCAUCCUUUCGCGUUUCUACCUGCCCGCCCUGUAGAGUGCUGCCGCCGUCACAUCUUCGCUGUCAUCGUAUGCGUUCACGUCUCCGUCAAAGUCGUCGAUCCCAGAGGUGCAAUCUGGCUCUGGAAGCUCAGCACGCAUGCACAAGUUGUGCAGCAGUGCGCAGUGCUGCAAUGAUUUUUGACGUGAACACUGGCCCGUAGUAGAGCGCCCGGUGCCGUUGCAGAUACCUGAAGCGCAUCUUGAGGACCCCAAUACAGCGUUCCACAAGUGAGCGCAGCGAUGAGUGGGCGUCGUUAAACAUGGCUGCAGGGCUACCAGAAAUGUAGUUCCCAGGAACAGGUGUGACAAGCCAUGGCUGGAGCGGAUAGGCACUGUCACCUGCACAUUAUUUAAAAUGCAUUGCACACUACAUAACUACGUCAUUCAAAGACAUGAGACAACAAGUAACCUUUUCGUAGCUCAGAGAAUACACGGAUGGCGCAUGUUAU